UACGGAGGAUCCAAGCGUUAUCCGGAUUUAUUGGGUUUAAAGGGUGCGUAGGCGGACUUAUAAGUCAGUGGUGAAAUCUCGUUGCUUAACAACGAACGUGCCAUUGAUACUGUAGGUCUUGAGUACAGAUGCCGUUGGCGGAAUGUGUCAUGUAGCGGUGAAAUGCAUAGAUAUGACACAGAACACCGAUUGCGAAGGCAGCUGACGAAACUGUAACUGACGCUGAGGCACGAAAGCGUGGGUAUCAAACAGG
rnacentral:rRNA from 1 species